UUGAGAUUUUAACACGAAGUGAGUGGCGAACGGGUGAGUAACACGUGGGUAACCUGCCCAGAAGUAGGGGAUAACACCUGGAAACAGAUGCUAAUACCGUAUAACAGAGAAAACCGCAUGGUUUUCUUUUAAAAGAUGGCUCUGCUAUCACUUCUGGAUGGACCCGCGGCGUAUUAGCUAGUUGGUGAGGUAAAGGCUCACCAAGGCAGUGAUACGUAGCCGACCUGAGAGGGUAAUCGGCCACAUUGGGACUGAGACACGGCCCAGACUCCUACGGGAGGCAGCAGUAGGGAAUCUUCCACAAUGGACGCAAGUCUGAUGGAGCAACGCCGCGUGAGUGAAGAAGGGUUUCGGCUCGUAAAGCUCUGUUGUUAAAGAAGAACGUGGGUAAGAGUAACUGUUUACCCAGUGACGGUAUUUAACCAGAAAGCCACGGCUAACUACGUGCCAGCAGCCGCGGUAAUACGUAGGUGGCAAGCGUUAUCCGGAUUUAUUGGGCGUAAAGCGAGCGCAGGCGGUCUUUUAAGUCUAA
rnacentral:rRNA from 1 species